GCCCAUAUCAGGUGCCGCAUGGUUUUGUCCCAUGUAAAGGACACCAUGGGAGAGAAAAUAUCGCAUUCCACGUAAAUCAGACUCUCUCUUGACUCACUCCCACAUCAUUAGUCCCCUCCCACCAUCAAAGGGGGGGUUUGUGUUCCUGGGCAGGAGGUGGUUCUAUAGAUAGCCUCCUACCAACAUUAGUACAAGAAAAUUUGUCUGAAGC
rnacentral:lncRNA from 1 species